AACCUAGCACACCUGCGGUGUGUACCUGCGGAAGGAUCAUUAUCGAGUGCGAACCCCCCCGUAAAAAAGGGGGGUUACCUCCAGUCCUUUGCUGGGUGUACCCUAUUCCAUUUGGAAGGGGGUUACCUUUCAAGACCCUUCUGCUUCGGCGGGGUUACCUGCCGGAACAACCUCAAAUUCUUUGUCAAAUGGUUCCGUCCGAGAAAACUUUUGAAAAAGCGAAAACUUUCAACAACGGAU
rnacentral:misc_RNA from 1 species